UCAUAAUCAGUGAAAACGAGUAGGGCGGGACACGUGAUAUCCUGUCUGAAUAUGGGGGGACCAUCCUCCAAGGCUAAAUACUACUGACUGACCGAUAGUGAACCAGUACCGUGAGGGAAAGGCGAAAAGAACCCCUGUGAGGGGAGUGAAAUAGAACCUGAAACCGUGUACGUACAAGCAGUAGGAGCACCUUCGUGGUGUGACUGCGUACCUUUUGUAUAAUGGGUCAGCGACUUAAUUUUAGUAGCAAGGUUAACCGUUUAGGGGAGCCGUAGGGAAACCGAGUCUUAACUGGGCGUACAGUUGCUAGGAUUAGACCCGAAACCAGGUGAUCUAGCCAUGGGCAGGUUGAAGGUUGAGUAACAUCAACUGGAGGACCGAACCGACUAAUGUUGAAAAAUUAGCGGAUGACUUGUGGCUAGGGGUGAAAGGCCAAUCAAACCUGGAGAUAGCUGGUUCUCCCCGAAAGCUAUUUAGG
rnacentral:rRNA from 1 species